rnacentral:rRNA from 1 species
UACAGAGGUCCCAAGCGUUGUUCGGAUUCAUUGGGCGUAAAGGGUGCGUAGGCGGCGCGGUAAGUCGGGUGUGAAAUCUCGGAGCUUAACUCCGAAACUGCAUUCGAUACUGCCGUGCUUGAGGACUGGAGAGGAGACUGGAAUUUACGGUGUAGCGGUGAAAUGCGCAGAUAAUCAGGAGGAACACCCGUGGCGAAGGCGGCUCUCUGGAACGCAACUGACGCUGAGACGCGAAAGCGUGGGGAGCAAACAGG